UACGGAGGGUGCAAGCGUUGUUCGGAAUCAUUGGUCGUAAAGGGCGUGUAGGCGGGGUAGUAUGUCGGAUGUGAAAGCCCUCGGCUCAACCGAGGAACUGCAUCCGAAACUGCUACUCUUGAGUACGGGAGAGGGAAGCGGAAUUUCCAGUGUAGAGGUGAAAUUCGUAGAUAUUGGAAGGAACACCGGUGGCGAAGGCGGCUUCCUGGACCGAUACUGACGCUGAGACGCGAAAGCGUGGGGAGCAAACAGGAUUAGAUACCCCAGUA
rnacentral:rRNA from 1 species